rnacentral:rRNA from 1 species
UACAGAGGGGGCAAGCGUUGUUCGGAAUUACUGGGCGUAAAGGGCGCGUAGGCGGCCUGUUAAGUCGAACGUGAAAUCCCCGGGCUCAACCCGGGAACUGCGUCCGAUACUGGCAGGCUUGAAUCCGGGAGAGGGAUGCGGAAUUCCAGGUGUAGCGGUGAAAUGCGUAGAUAUCUGGAGGAACACCGGUAGCGAAGGCGGCAUCCUGGACCGGUAUUGACGCUGAGGCGCGAAAGCCAGGGGAGGCAAAACGGGG